UUGACGAGUUGUAGCUGGCCUUCCGAGGCAUGUGCACGCUCUGCUCAUCCACUCUACCCCUGUGCACUUACUGUAGGUUGGCGUGGGCUCCUUAACGGGAGCAUUCUGCCGGCCUAUGUAUACUACAAACACUUUAAAGUAUCAGAAUGUAAACGCGUCUAACGCAUCUAUAAUACAACUUUUAGCAACGGAUCUCUUGGCUCUCGCAUCGAUGAAGAACGCAGCGAAAUGCGAUAAGUAAUGUGAAUUGCAGAAUUCAGUGAAUCAUCGAAUCUUUGAACGCACCUUGCGCUCCUUGGUAUUCCGAGGAGCAUGCCUGUUUGAGUGUCAUGGAAUUCUCAACUUAUAAAUCCUUGUGAUCUAUAAGCUUGGACUUGGAGGCUUGCUGGCCCUUGUUGGUCGGCUCCUCUUGAAUGCAUUAGCUCGAUUCCGUACGGAUCGGCUCUCAGUGUGAUAAUUGUCUACGCUGUGACCGUGAAGUGUUUUGGCGAGCUUCUAACCGUCCAUUAGGACAAUUUUUUAACAUCUGACCUCAAAUCAGGUAGGACUACCCGCUGAACUUAAGCAUAUCAAUAAGCGAGGGAAAAAGAAAAGA
rnacentral:rRNA from 1 species